GAUGAACGCUAGCUACAGGCUUAACACAUGCAAGUCGAGGGGAAACGAUGAGAGAGCUUGCUCUCUUAGGCGUCGACCGGCGCACGGGUGAGUAACGCGUAUCCAACCUACCCAUUACAGGGGGAUAACCUUGCGAAAGUAAGACUAAUACCCCAUGGCAUUUUAUGGUGGCAUCAUUAUAGGAUUAAAGAUUUAUUGGUAAUGGAUGGGGAUGCGUCUGAUUAGCUUGUUGGCGGGGUAACGGCCCACCAAGGCAACGAUCAGUAGGGGUUCUGAGAGGAAGGUCCCCCACAUUGGAACUGAGACACGGUCCAAACUCCUACGGGAGGCAGCAGUGAGGAAUAUUGGUCAAUGGGCGAGAGCUUGAACCAGCCAAGUAGCGUGCAGGAUGACGGCCCUAUGGGUUGUAAACUGCUUUUAUAGGGGAAUAAAGUGGGCUACGUGUAGUUUAUUGCAUGUACCCUAUGAAUAAGGACCGGCUAAUUCCGUG
rnacentral:rRNA from 1 species